UUUCAAGAAAGAAAGAAGAAGAAGGAACAGGAUUUGCGGGGAAGAAGAAGAAAAUAAAGCGAAAAAAGGGAAGAAAUUUCAGGGAAUUAAAGAAGAAGAAUUGGAGGUAAAAGAGAGGGAAAAACCUGGAAUGAGGAGACUCCCAUUCAUUUGCUCGUAAUUGUGACUUCAGUAAGAAAGUUUGGAAGCAAUCCCAUCUCAGAACCAAGCUCUGGUGCCAAUUUGUAAGAUAACAUAUCUGAGUCAAUCCCUAGAGUUGGAACAGAGUUGCGAGAGAAAAAGAAGGAAAAAAAGUGGAUGAGAAGAGAAACAGAAUUAGAUGAGAAGAGAAAAGAAUCUAGAGAAGAGAGAGAUAUGAUUGAUGUUCAUUCUUGAAUGCCUCCUUACAGAUCUACUUCUACUUUUAUAGACAAAGGAGUAACCGCCUCCUAACAACUCUGACAGAAUCAGUUAGAUAAAACUUAUUUAACUAAUACAAGUAAUUCCCUCCAAAAAGCUGUUACGGUAGUUACAAGCAAUUCCCUCCAAAUUCCCCAGCUAACUAACUGCUAACAGCAACUACUAAUUAACACUCUUCUUCCUUCUUCUAUAAUAUGUAACAACCCGAUAGGUUGGAAGCUUGUCGCCCCUUGGUGACAUAGCUGCCACAAUCGAGGCUCAAAUCUGAUGUUCCUACAUUGAGUUACAAGCUGGUCGAUUAAAACCCACCCAAGCUUACAGAUGAGCUCACACAGAUUACUGUGAGCUAGAAGCAUUUGAUCUCCUCCUACCCUUGUGUUUUGACUAGGAGUUAGUGAGCUUGAUAGCCAUGUAACCAUGAAUUUCAAAUUGAAUUGUAGGAGUUGGAUUUAUUGAAGUCCGAAUAAAAAUCAAUUUCUUGUCCCACUUCAAUUCAAGAUUGUAAAUGAAUAUGAGAAUGAGAUUAGUUAAGAAAAGAGAAAGAGAAAGGAAUGUGAGACUUAUAGAUUCAAGAACUUAAUUUUGAGGGAAAAUCAAAAGGAUAGAGGAAGAAGAGGCAGACCAACAAAUUGAUUUGGAAGCAAAGCCAACCCUAGAACUCAAAGUUCUAAUACCAACUAUUAUGUAGCUAGAUUCUCAAUGGUCCAAGGCUUUGGCAAUAAAGAAGAAUCGAAGAAAGAGGAGGAGAGGGGGGAAGCAGAAUAGAAACUAGAUGAUCAAGAAGAAAGAAAAGAGGAAGAGAGAGAAAGAAGCAAAGAGAGGCUUCUUAAUGGUCCAAGGCUCCAUCAAUGAAGAAGAAUGGAAGACAGAGGAACAGAGGGGAGAAGCAUAAUAAAAAAACAGAAGAUUGAGAAUGAACAAAAGAGGGAGAGAGAGAGAAAGAGAGAGAGAAUGAGAAUCUUCGAAAUGCAAGGGAGAUAGCUCGAUCACAGAGAGUAGACGAGACGUGAGAGGGCUGAGAUACCACCAUAGGAGAAAAAGUGAGAUGAAACUCUUCCCAUCCAAGAGGCUUGGCUUGAUUUCACCAAUAAAAGCUGUGCUAUUGAAAACAAGUUGAGCACUGAAACAUCAAAUCCUGGAAAAGUACACAGGCGAGUGACUGGGGCCUUAGCAAGCCAUGUGACAAUGGCUUCAAGUUCAGCAAUCUCACUAGCACUCUUCUUAUCAGUAAUUCUUAACAGUACUGGUGGGUUCUGAAGCUGGUGGAAUAUCAAUCUAUUGGGGCCAGAAUAGAAACGAAGGCACCUUGGCAGAGAAUUGUGGCUUAGGAAACUACAAUUUUGUAAACACAGCUUUCCUACCAGUUUUUGGAAAUGAUCAGACUCCUGUGAUUAACCUCGCUGGCCAUUGCAGUCCUGACAGUUGCACAGGCCUAAGCUCUGACAUAAAAACAUUUCAAGCCAAAGGCAUUAAGGUAAUGCUUUCUAUUGGAAGAGGAUCUGGGAGCUAAUAUCUUGUCUCUACUGAGGAUGCAAGGCAAGUUGCAACUUAUCUUUGGAAUAACUUCUUGGGAGGGCACUCUUCAUUUCGUCCGUUUGGCCCUGGUGCUCUAGAUGGAAUUGACUUUGACAUUGAAGAAGGAAAAAGCCAACACUACAAUGAUCUUGCAAGGCUCCUUUCUGUCUAUGGUAAGAAAGGUAAGAAGAUGUACUUAAUUGCAGCUCCCCAAUGCCCAUUUCCGGAUGCCAGGGUAGGAAAUGCUCUUAUGACAUGUCUUCUUUGACUUUAUUCGGGUCCAAUUCUACAAUAACCCUCCUUGCCAGUACUCUUCUGGGAGUAUUGGCAAUCUCAUAGAUGCACGGAAGCAAUGUACCCCGAGUGAUGUUAAAAAAGUUUUCCUCGGAUUACCUGUUGCACCUGCUGCGGCUGGUGGCGGCUUCAUCCGUGUAGCUGAUCCAACUUCCAAAGUCCCUCCAGCAAUCAAUGGUUCUUCCAAUUAUGGUGCUGUUAUGCUGUGGUCCAUGGUAAUAUGAUGAUGAAACUGGUUACAAUAAAGCCAUCAAAAACCAUGUCUAAAAUACCCUGUUCCAGUUGUCUGAGGACAAAUUCCAAUUUGUCGAAAUUUACAUCUGUCUAAUUGUAUUAGUGCCAUGCAUAAUUCAAUAUUGAAUACUCUUUUAUCUAUAAUUCCUCCUUGACUACAUCUAUAAUUCUGUAUUGCCUAUAGGAAUUAUAACAGUUCCCAAUUCGCAUAAUUUUGUGGUUGCUAGAAUGACCUAAAAAUAAUGAACCGUGAACAGAAGUAUUAAACAAGAAGCAAGCAAAUAAUUACGACACCAAGGCUUCUAUAUCAUUCUUAAUACCAGAUAGAAAAUUCCAGAUUUCAGAGGGAACAAGAAAUAUCCCCUGUAUAAUGGAAUAUUCUGUGCGAAUUGGAAAAUUUCCGAUGGGAGAACAUCAGAACAGAAUAAGAUAAAACAUGAUAUGCAGAACUGCUGGAGAACUAAGGUGUUAUAUUGAAAAAUAUAAAACAUAAAAUAUUGAUAGUGAUUCAAAAUGAGGCGAAAUUGCAUGUCUUUCCAUAAAGCGGAACAAACAAAAAAUUAAUCAACUACCAACAAAAAAAAAUUCUUAGGUGCUCAGGAAUUGUGACAAAUAAAUUAGAAAAACCUUCAAAAA
rnacentral:misc_RNA from 1 species